AGGCGGAUAUACAAGUCAGGGGUGAAAACUUAGGGCUCAACUCAAAGCUUGCCUUUGAAACUGUAUAUCUAGAGUGCUGGAGAGGUGGACGGAACUACACGAGUAGAGGUGAAAUUCGUAGAUAUGUGUAGGAAUGCCGAUGAUGAAGAUAGUCCACUGGACAGCAACUGACGCUGAAGUGCGAAAGCUAGGGGAGCAAACAGGAUUAGAUACCCUGGUAGUCCUAGCUGUAAACGAUGAUUACUGGGUGUGGGCAUGAAGAGUGUCUGUGCCGAAGCUAAUGCGAUAAGUAAUCCGCCUGGGGAGUACGACCGCAAGGUUGAAACUCAAAGGAAUUGACGGGGACCCGCACAAGCGGUGGAGCAUGUGGUUUAAUUCGACGCAACGCGAGGAACCUUACCAGAUCUUGACAUCCUACGUAGGCCUGUGAGAACAGGCUGUGCCUUCGGGAACGUAGAGACAGGUGGUGCAUGGCUGUCGUCAGCUCGUGUCGUGA
rnacentral:rRNA from 1 species